UAGGGAAUCUUGCCACAAUGGACGCAAGUCUGAUGGAGCAACGCCGCGUGAGCGAAGAAGGCUUUCGGGUCGUAAAACUCUGUUAUUGAAGAAGAACGUGUGUGACAGUAACUGGUCAUGCAGUGACGGUAUUCAAUCAGAAAGUCACGGCUAACUACGUGCCAGCAGCCGCGGUAAUACGUAGGUGGCAAGCGUUGUCCGGAUUUAUUGGGCGUAAAGCGAGUGCAGGCGGUCUUCUAAGUCUGAUGUGAAAGCCUUCGGCUUAACCGAAGAAGGGUCAUCGGAAACUGGGAGACUUGAGUGCA
rnacentral:rRNA from 1 species